AACAUGUCUUUUUGAAUAUAAUUUAAAGUCUAAUCUGCCCACUGAUUUAAAUAUUAAAGGGCUGCAGUAUAUUGACUGUACAAAGGUAGCAUAAUCAAUAGUCUUUUAAUUGAAGACUUGUAUGAAGGAUUUGAUGAAAUAUAAACUGUCUCUUAAUUAUAGUUAGAAUUUAAUUUUUUAGUUAAAAAGCUAAAAUAAAUUUAAAAGACGAGAAGACCCUAUAGAGUUUUAUAAUUUUUAAAUAAAAUUAUUUAUAUAAAUUUUUAAUAUUAUUAUUUAAUAAUUAUUUUGUUGGGGUGAUAAAAAAAUUAAUUAAACUUUUUUUAAAAAUUUACAAAAAUAAAUGAUUAAUUGAUCCAUAAUAAUGAUUAAAAGAAAAAAUUACCUUAGGGAUAACAGCGUAAUAUUUUUUUUUAGUACAAAUAAGAAAAAAAGUUUGCGACCUCGAUGUUGGAUUAAGAUAAAAUUUAAAUGCAAAAGUUUAAAAUUUUGAUCUGUUCGAUCAUUAAAAUCUUACAUGA
rnacentral:rRNA from 1 species